GACGAACGCUGGCGGCGUGCUUAACACAUGCAAGUCGAACGGAAAGGCCCUGCUUGCGGGGUACGCGAGUGGCGAACGGGUGAGUAACACGCGGGUGAUCCGGCCUGCACUUCGGGAUAAGCCUGGUAAACUGGGUCUAAUACCGGAUAGCGGCCAUCUUGAGGGUGGUGGUUGGAAGGUUUUUUCGGUGUGGGAUGAGCUCGCGGCCUAUCAGCUUGUUGGUGGGGUUAGGGGCUACCAAGGCAGCGACGGGUAGCCGGCCCGGGGGGGUGGACGGCCACAUUGGGGCUGGGGUACGGCCCAGGCCCCCACGGGGGGGAGGAGGGGGGGAAUAUGGACCAAUGGGGGGAGGCCGGUGGAGGCAAGGCCGGGUGGGGGAGGACGGCUUCCGGUUGGUAAAUCCUUUCGCUAGGGAAGGAAGUGUUUGUGACGGUACCUGGAGAAGAAGCACCGGCUAACUACGUG
rnacentral:rRNA from 1 species